rnacentral:rRNA from 1 species
AACAAACGCUGGCGGCGUGCCUAAUACAUGCAAGUCGAACGGGGAAAGCUUUCGGGUGAGUACUAGUGGCGCACGGGUGAGUAACGCGUGGAUAAUCUGCCUUAGAGUGGGGGAUAACUAGUCGAAAGAUUAGCUAAUACCGCAUAAGACCACAAGAACUGCGGUUCAAGAGGUCAAAGGUUUUUCGCUCUAAGAUGAGUCCGCGUAAGAUUAGCUAGUUGGUGAGGUAACGGCUCACCAAGGCAACGAUCUUUAACUGGUCUGAGAGGAUGAUCAGGCACACUGGAACUGAGACACGGUCCAGACUACUACGGGAGGCAGCAGUAGGGAAUAUUGCACAAUGGAGGAAGCUCUGAUGCAGCGACGCCGCGUGAGUGAUGAAGGCCUUCGGGUCGUAAAGAUCUGUCGCAGGGGAAUAACACAAUGAAUGUACCCUGUAAGAAAGGAUCGGCUAACUUCGUGCCAGCCGCCGCCGUAAGAC